UACGUAGGCAGCGAGCGUUGUUCGGAAUUACUGGGCGUAAAGAGUGUGUAGGCGGUGCUCUAAGUUCGGUGUGAAAUCUCCUGCUUAACUGGGAGGGUGCGCCGGAAACUGGAGUGCUCGAACGUGGGAGAGGAAAGCGGAAUUCCUGGUGUAGCGGUGAAAUGCGUAGAUAUCAGGAGGAACACCUGCGGUGUAGACGGCUUUCUGGACCAUUGUUGACGCUGAGACGCGAAAGCGUGGGUAGCAAACAGG
rnacentral:rRNA from 1 species